CUAGCCNUGCCGCGUGAGUGAUGAAGGUCUUAGGAUCGUAAAGCUCUUUCGCCAGGGNUGAUAAUGACAGUACCUGGUAAAGAAACCCCGGCUAACUCCGUGCCAGCAGCCGCGGUAAUACGGAGGGGGUUAGCGUUGUUCGGAAUUACUGGGCGUAAAGCGUGCGUAGGCGGAUUAGAAAGUAUGGGGUGAAAUCCCAGGGCUCAACCCUGGAACUGCCUCAUAAACUACUAGUCUAGAGUUCGAGAGAGGUGAGUAGAAUUCCGAGUGUAGAGGUGAAAUUCGUAGAUAUUCGGAGGAAUACCAGUGGCGAAGGCGGCUCACUGGCUCGAUACUGACGCUGAGGUACGAAAGUGUGGGGAGCAAACAGGAUUAGAUACCCNGGGUAG
rnacentral:rRNA from 1 species